rnacentral:rRNA from 1 species
UACGAAGGGGGGCUAGCGUUGUUCGGAAUUACUGGGCGUAAAGGGCGCGUAGGCGGCUUGUCGAGUCAGGCGUGAAAGUCCCGGGCUUAACCUGGGGGCGGCGCUUGAGACUGACGGGCUUGAAUGCGGGAGAGGAUGGCGGAAUUCCCAGUGUAGAGGUGAAAUUCGUAGAUAUUGGGAAGAACACCGGUGGCGAAGGCGGCCAUCUGGCCCGAUCAUUGACGCUGAGGCGCGAAAGCGUGGGGAUCAAACAGG